AAGACAACGACGAGAACAACAAAAACAAUGACAACAACAACAACACCACCAACAACAACGACGACGACAAUAGUGACAACAGCGAUAGCAACGACAACAACAACAACAACAAACACGAUGAUGAUGACGACAGCGACAACAAUAACAACAACAACAACAAAAACAAUAACAACAACAACGACGACAACGAUUACAACGACGACCACAAUGACAGUGAUGAGAACAACGACAACAACGAUAACAACAAU
rnacentral:lncRNA from 1 species